AAAGAAGUUAGUUAAUUAUAUAAUAUUGAAUUGUCAAAUCAAAGUAAUACUUUACUUCUU
rnacentral:tRNA from 1 species